CUGUCAAUUUUUAAAAAGGCCUUAAUUUUUUGUAAAUGACUUCAAGCUACUCCUCCAAGACUGUCGCCUGAACCUGUGGGCACUAAUUCUGAGAUGAACACAAGCUCUAUCCCAGGGUGGGUCUCAGCUUUGUGUGUACCCAUGGAACAGGAAAAAGUGUCAGCAGCCUCUGAACAGGUAGCCUAGAACCAGCUCAGCCAGCUUUCGUAAACUGGUUUUCAGUCUCUACAGUGUUGCUAUAUUCUCAGUUGGUUGCAAAAGCAUAAAACUGGAAUAUUUUACACCUGAAGCAAAGCUUCCUUGUACCUUACAACGUCUUAAAUCCUAAAAUACAUAGAAAUGUAUGUUCUUGUGAGACUCAUAGGCAUCUAUGGAUCUAAAAGUCCCAGGUGAAUUUAAUUCCCCCAUCCCUUUAAAAUUACAGACCCAAAGCAUAGUUUCAAGGGCUAUAAAGCAGCAGGGUCUGAAGAAUCAGGGACUACAGAUUUUAAAGCUGUAGCAGCUUAGAUUUUAAAACAGAUUGACAUUAAUUUCCUUUAUUUUCAUUUGGUUAAACACAUGGGAAUUAAACUGAUAUAAAGCUGCUGCAGGUAUAAUUUAGGCCACAAGGUUAAUGUUUAUUCUGAUUCUGAGGCCACAGGAGUCUGCUUUUCUAGCUAGUUCCCCAGCACAGGCAAUCGAAUCCUUCCCUCACUUCCAUGAUGUCCUGAGCUGCAGGAGCCACUCUUGUGCUCCUCCUGCUCCGUAUCAGGGUAUUUCUGCGACACUGCGACACUCAGCAUCAACAGCCUGAACGUAUGCGAUCAUUCCAGGUAACUGUGCCAACCUGCUGCUCAAAAGAGCUGUUUGUAAGUUUGUUCUCCACUCCCAACCUCUAAAACGUUUCGCUGCUCUAGCCCUGACAGCCUGCCCUACUGCAUUAAGGUAGUCUUUAAUACACCCCGGAGGAACUUCUUGUUUUGUUAUUCUUCAUGGAUCUGCUUACUCAUUUUCCAUUCCUGCAAGAUAGGUUUUAAUGGAUUUGAUACAGUACCAGGAAGGCCUCAUUGGAGACAUAAUUAAUGGAUGCUCAGAAUAGGAAAACUUUGACUUAGAAAAUGUCAUAUAUCAAGUGAACAGGACCAAUUAAGGUAGCCAGGUUUUCAGCAGAAGUAGCUUUAACAUCAUCAGGAUUUCCUACUGAAUGUACUGUUUGGAAAAGGUGAGUGGAAUUGGGGGUGAUGGCAGGGAGGGUGGAAUUUGUUUUUCCAUGGUGGAAAGUGAUCUGCCACUCUUGGGAAUGCUUUACCAACACCAACUGCAAAAACAUCCAUGUUGCCAGUUUACAUUAGGGAUAAUAUUGUGACUGCGUUUAAACUGGAAGAAACCACUCCAUCAGUCAAAGGAGGAUUUCAGGGGAUAUGACCUUGAGUAAUGUUCUGGCUUAGCAAAAACUGUGGAUUUGAUCAUUAAUAAUAUUUUGCAUGAUACUUUUUUUUUAUUAUUUUAUUUUUUAUUAUUCAAAGCAGACUCUGUCAGCCAAAGGAGUAAAACCUUCUCUCAUGUUCCAUCCUCCUCCAUUUUAGUGCAAGCAAGAGGAAUCUGUAAGAAAAUAUUGUCUGUUUGCCAAAACUGCAAAGAUAACAUUCCUAAGAGUGCAACUGGAUUCACCUAAGGUCUCUUCAAAUUAUAAGAUGGUAAAAUUUGCAGUCUCAGCAGCUUGGACAGCAAAACAUAGCUAAGAAAGAAGGGAUUUUUCUCUCCUGGAAAUGCCUCAUGAAUCUGGCUGUGAAAGCCUUUCAUAGUUAAUCCUUCACAUAGAUAUAACACAACUAUUGUCAGCCAGGUGACUUGUAUCUGAGCCACAUGGCUAUGGCUGUUGCUACGAAGACUCUUGAACAUUUUGCAAAGAAAUAUUACAAAGCCUUAUCAUUUUGCAGCUUUCUGGGUGAUUGCAUCAGCUUGAGUGCUGGAAAUGAUGGAAUAUGCCUGCUGGGGACUGAGGACUCAGGAGGCUGAAGCCGGCUCCUGUCACACCCUGAAGGACAUUCCCCCAUGUCUUGAAGAAUAGCUGGGUUCUUGCUACAUUUCAGCAUUGGGAAGUUCAUGCACAAACACAUCUGCAAGUAGUUUAUUUCUUCUCACUGCCAGUUGGCACUGCUCUCAUUAGAUCCCCUGCAUUGCGUUUUGCUAUUUGUUACCUAAACAGCUGCAAACUCUUGCUCCAAGGCCUCAGAAGAGAGAGCUCUUUUUGUCUAGCAAAUAACAUUAAUAAAGGUUGGAUCUACAGUAGCA
ensembl:lncRNA